CAGCAGCCACGGUAAUACGUAGGGUGCGAGCGUUAAUCGGAAUUACUGGGCGUAAAGCGUGCGCAGGCGGUUUUGUAAGACAGGCGUGAAAUCCCCGGGCUCAACCUGGGAAUGGCGCUUGUGACUGCAAAGCUAGAGUGCGGCAGAGGGGGAUGGAAUUCCGCGUGUAGCAGUGAAAUGCGUAGAUAUGCGGAGGAACACCGAUGGCGAAGGCAAUCCCCUGGGCCUGCACUGACGCUCAUGCACGAAAGCGUGGGGAGCAAACAGGAUUAGAUACCCGCGUAGUCCCUGUCUCUUAUAA
rnacentral:rRNA from 1 species